rnacentral:rRNA from 1 species
AAUGGCCGCGGUAUUUUGACCGUGCGAAGGUAGCAUAAUAAUUAGUUUUUUAAUUAAAAGCUAGAAUGAAAGGUUGGACGAGAAAGUAACUGUCUUUAUUUAAAUUAAUUAUAAAAUUUUAUCUUUAAGUUAAAAAGCUUAAUUAUUGUUAAAAGACGAGAAGACCCUAUAGAGUUUUAUAUUAAUUUAAUUUAUUUUAGUUUAGAAAAUUUUUAUAAUAAUUUAAAUUAGUAUUUAAUUGGGGUGAUUAAAAAAUUUAAGAAACUUUUUGAAAUUUUAAACAUUUAUUUUUGAUUAAUUGAUCCAUUAUAAUGAUUAUAAGAAUAAAUUACCUUAGGGAUAACAGCGUAAUUUUUUUAGAGAGUUCAAAUCGAAAAAAGAGAUUGCGACCUCGAUGUUGGAUUAAAAUAAAUUUUAGGUGUAGAAGCUUAAAUAUUAGGUCUGUUCGACCUUUAAAAUUUUACAUGAUCUGAGUUUAGACCGGCGUGAGCCAGGUUGGUUUCUAUCUUUAAUUUAUUAUAAUAUUUUAGUACGAAAGGACCAAAUAUUAGUAAAAUUUAU